CAGCAAAGUUCACAGGAAUGUCACGUAUAAUUUAGCUUGUAGAAAUACACAAGAACAAGUGAUUACCAGUCACAAGCACAGUUUUCCGCACCUCAUCUCUUUUCAUGGACACUUGUUAAUCAUCACAGCUGUUUGUCAUUUUUGUUCAUCAUCACUGUGUAUUUAAGUUUAGGUUGUUUGUGUUUUGGGUACACUCUGUUAACCUUUGUUUUGGAACUCUUGCCUCUUCUUCAUCUUUGGAACUUAUUAAGGCCAAUUUACACUGCACAGACAAAUACCAACAAACAAGUUGGCUGUUGGAUUUAGAAUUUCAUGAAAAAUAACUGUUAUGUUCACACUGCCCCAAAAGACACCAACAAACACUGAUUUAACAUGUUCAGUUGAUGACAGCAAACUCCAACCAACACAGUUAACUGCUUUGCCCAGGAGUGGCCAGAGCUUUAUGGAGUAUAUGCUAGAAUGACCAGACACGGGACACGUUCAGCACAGGAUUUCUAAAUUGCCUAGCUAUAGAGAUCACAGCAGACGGCUACUUAUGCUUUCGAAUCACUCUCGCUGUACUUUAAUGUCACACAAUGAUCAGCCAACACCUGGUUAUUUUAGGCAAUUUAGAAAUCCUGUGCUGAACAUGUCCCUGGGAAGUCUGGCCACCCUACUAUAUGCUGCAGUUUUGUUGCCUCGCUCUCCGCUCUUCAUUGGAUGACGGGACACUAAAAUGCCUGUACUGGAUCAGGGUAAACGAUCAACAUCCAGUAGACCUCCCAGAAACCAAAGGACUUCCCUAGAGGGCGGCUGUCAUCAGAUGUCUGGAGAGUGUUUACCCCCGAUACACACCACAACCAGACCCUGACAGAGAGCUUCCGUCUGCCGCAAAUGAGCAGCCUGUAAGGACAGCGUUAACUGUCGGCCUGGGGCCGAUGACUCAAUGUGAGUCUGACCAGGAGUAUGUGCCCGCACAAAGUGUGGCAGAAGGAAUUUAGGUGGAGUUGGACACUGAGGACUGGCUAAUUAAUUGAUCAACUGAGAUAGAGCUUCCAACCCUGCCUACCCAUAAACCCUCUCUGCUUCUGGAUUCUUCUUGCACUGUGCCUUCGUCGUUGCCACUGAUCUUACACAGUUCAGAUUCUUCAUCAUCACUACUCCUGUCCAUCACUGAGUCUUCAUCACCACUAGUCCCAGCCAUCACUGUGUGUCUCUCACUAAGCCUGCUUCCUCACCUUGUCCUCCUCUCCUGCACAAUCCACCAGAGCCAGCCAUUCCCUCGGAUUCACCUCCACUGGCUCUGUUCCACCUUGGCCGCUCGUCGUCACGACUCUGCCUCGGUGUUGCUUGGUCUGUCCUGCUCUGCCACUCCACCUGGGUCUCCACCUCCUUUGGCUCUGUCUCCAUUGCUCAUCCUCAUUGUGUUGUUGAGGUCAUCUCUACCAUGGCUCUUCACUUCCUCGACUCCACUGUGGGCCUCUGUCAUGGCUGUGCUCUGGUCCUACUCUACCUGUUCACUCCUACCAUCAUCAGUCACCUGCUGUUUGUUAUUCAUUUGCCUGCAUUUCUCCAAGUCUUUGCCUCCCAAACCACC